GGCUUUAUGAAUAUUUUGAUAUGAGCGUCACUGAUGAGUCUUAUGUAGACGAAACGCGCGUCUGGCGUACUAAAUUAUAAUUCUGGUACCUUUGAUAACUAUUUACACCACUGGGUCGAUGCCACUGCUGGUGGACGUUUCGUCCCCGAGGGUAUCACCAGCCCAGUAGUCAACACUUCGGUGUUGACAUGAAUAUCAAUAAUGUGGUCAUUUUGUAUUAAUUUGCUGUUUACAAAAGUUAAAAUUAUCGAAAAAACUAAGGAUUUUCUUAUUCCAGGCAUAGAUUUCCGUAGCCGUAUUUGGCACAACUUUUUGGAAUUUUGAAUCCUCAAUGCUCUUCAACCUUGUAAUUGUUUGGCAUUAUAAAUAUUUUGAUAUGAGCGUCACUGGUGAGUCUU
rnacentral:lncRNA from 1 species